rnacentral:tRNA from 1 species
CGGGGAGUGGCGCAGUGGUAGCGCUCCAGCUUUGGGAGCUGGAGGUCGGGGGUUCGAGUCCCCCCUCCCCGA